AACUGAUCCGAAGAUCAUUAUUGUCCAAAUUCAUAAGAUUUGCGGAUGUAUCAAGAAUUGCGAUUUUUGUCGGGACAUUGAUUCGGAAAUCAAUAUUAAUCAAACAAAAUUAUAAAAAAUUUACAUCUACUGUGAGUUGUUUUUAGCGUGUCCUGUUUGUUUUGUUCUUGAAGUAAAAAAAAAGCAAAAAAGUGAAAAUUUUGUAAAAGAGUGCAAAUAUAUGAAAAAAAGUCUUUUUCCACACCAAAAAUGCUCUUGUUGCUUUCCAUGACACGCCUGCUGAUCCUUGCGUGCUGUCGGUGUUAUUUGCCCAUCACAAACGCUUCAUCGUUAUUGCAGAAACCGCAGAUUUUUCCCCUGUAAUCGAAGGCCGGAUUUUCUACCAGCAAUCGAUUGGAAGAACUAUUUUCGGGUAAUCAACGCAAAGCCAGAUCAGAUCCGAUUUGUAAGAAUUUGUACUCCAUUUGAGAAGUGAAAGGAAAGCAAUGGCACGACAUGACCAGACCCUUGGCAAUCCGGAUACAUAUGGAAACGAGUGUAAAACCUCCAUCAGGAAAAAUAGUGUCCGCAAUAACACCAUGAACGCUAGUGUGUAAUCGGAAUCGAUGGCAAUAUGAAUACAAUUAUUAUAUUAUAACCUUAGGUUCGCCUAUUUAUUUCAAACGAGAAAAACCAACAGUAUGGCUUCGGGUAAAAAUUACAAUAAAGCACCAUAAAACA